CUUUAUGAUUUCCUUCCAUUCCAGUCUCAUGGAUGACAGACCUUCCACACCACGCUCCUGGUCUGACUGUGAAGAGUGGGCAGUGUGCAGAAAGAGAUGGAGCACAGAGACAGGGAAGGACAAGAAGACAGACGGCCCUUGCUCUUUCCCUCUCCAGCUUCUCUUUGUAUUAUUCCCAGUAGGUUGAACAUCCUUCUGCAGAACAUGAAUCAAGACCUGAAGAUAAUAACCUUCAGGUCAUGAAGUGAUCAUGGUAUCUUAGUCACCCUAUUUCCUUGUCUAAGUCACCGGAACAAAUAAAAACAAUAAUAAACCUUAAAAAAGUUCCACAACAUCCUGGUUUAUUUGAGAUGAGUGCUCCAAUUCUUAAGACCAAAAAUGUAAUAUUUUUAAGAACACUGGUUCCCUUGCUUCACUGAUGCCUAAACAUGUGCUUAAUCCAAUUACUUUGUGUUUUUAUGCUACUGUGUCUUAGGAUGACUCCUGCAAAAAGAAAUUCCUCGUCAAAGAACAUGCAUCUUUGUAAGCUUUUGAAGAUAUACUGCCAAAUUGUCUUUUGGGAAUGACAUAUCAGCUUAUAUUUCUUAGAGAAGAGCUGAUUUCCCCAUAUCCACUCUACCCAUGUAUUAGGCAAAACGUGAUUUAUCUUUGUGUCAUUAGUCAUUCUAUUGACUAAUGAGCUUGAACAAUUCUCUUCACACAUCAAUUGGCUAUUUGUACAUAUUAUAAGACUAUUUUGUUCUUAUUAUAUCCCCAUUUGUUUUAUGCUGGGCUAUUUUUCUUUUUCUUAUUAUCUGUCAGAUUUUUUUGUAUUUUAUGAAAAAUCCCUCUGUCUGCAAUAUGUGUCACAGCUAUUUCUCAGAUGUAAUUUACCUUUCAUGUUUUUGUUUAUAUUUUCCAAAUUUAAAGGUAAAAUCUCUUUAUAAUCUUUUUUCCAGUAUGUUACUUUAUUGAUUUUUCCUUUGGGAUUACACUUAGCAAAUUUUUCUUAUUACAAGUUUACAUAAAAUUUUACCUCUUCUUCCUUCCGGUACUUUUAUGUUUCUUAAAAAUAUAUAAACCAUAUGCAAGUCAUUACCAUGGAUGUUAGGAGAGGGAAUCUGGCUUGAUUUUUUCCAAAUGUUUAGACAGCUAUUCCAAAAUCUUGUAUUGAGUAGUUCAUUCUUCCCCACUUCACUGAAACACUGUCAUUCUCAUAUCCUGAUUACUUACAUAUACGUACACACUUAAAGCUGUGUCCUAUGCUUUUUAUUAUGUUCUUUAUCUCUCUGUUUCUGAGAUAGUAUCAUUCUAUUUAUAUUUUAGUUCCUGGCAAAAUAAAUGCCCUUCUUCCCUAUUCUUUUUUUUUUAAAAUGGACCGCUUUCAAACAUUUUGCAAAAUUAACUUUAAAAGCAUGGUCAAAUUCCAAAAAUAACUAUUGGACUAGAGACCAAACUUGUAUGGUUAGUUUGAUAUGCCUAAACACAUUUAUAGUGUGAAACUUUCC
rnacentral:lncRNA from 1 species